CUCCUGCAAAAAUCAACGUAUAGGAGGUCUUACCUGCCCAGUGACAUGUUAAACGGCCGCGGUAUUUUGACCGUGCGAAGGUAGCGCAAUCACUUGUCUCUUAAAUAGAGACCUGUAUGAAUGGUGGAACGAGGGCUUAACUGUCUCCCCUCUCAAGUCAAUGAAAUUGAUCUGCCCGUGCAGAAGCGGACAUACAAAUAC
rnacentral:rRNA from 1 species